rnacentral:rRNA from 1 species
UACGUAGGGGGCAAGCGUUGUCCGGAUUUAUUGGGCGUAAAGAGCUCGUAGGUGGUUCGGUAAGUCGGAUGUGAAAUCUCCAGGCUCAACCUGGAGGGGUCAUUCGAUACUGCCGUGACUAGAGGUCGGUAGGGGAGUGUGGAAUUCCUGGUGGAGCGGUGAAAUGCGCAGAUAUCAGGAGGAACACCGGUGGCGAAGGCGGAUCUCUGGGCCUGAUCUGACGCUGAGGCGCGAAAGCUAGGGGAGCGAACAGG